rnacentral:rRNA from 1 species
GACGAACGCUGGCGGCGUGCUUAACACAUGCAAGUCGAACGGUGAAGGCGGAGCUUGCUCUGCCGGAUCAGUGGCGAACGGGUGAGUAACACGUGGGCAACCUGCCCCUCACUUCGGGAUAACUCCGGGAAACCGGGGCUAAUACCGGAUACGACCUCCUUGGGCAUCCUUGGAGGUGGAAAGUUUUUCGGUGAGGGAUGGGCCCGCGGCCUAUCAGCUUGUUGGUGGGGUAGUGGCGAACCAAGGCGACGACGGGUAGCCGGCCUGAGAGGGCGACCGGCCACACUGGGACUGAGACACGGCCCAGACUCCUACGGGAGGCAGCAGUGGGGAAUAUUGCGCAAUGGGCGAAAGCCUGACGCAGCAACGCCGCGUGCGGGAUGAAGGCCUUCGGGUUGUAAACCGCUUUCAGCAGGGAAGAAGCCGCAAGGUGACGGUACCUGCAGAAGAAGCACCGGCUAACUACGUGCCAGCCGCCGCCGUAA